UUAAAUUGAAGAGUUUGAUCAUGGCUCAGAUUGAACGCUGGCGGCAGGCUUAACACAUGCAAGUCGAACGGUAACAGG
rnacentral:rRNA from 1 species